rfam:Triticum urartu cultivar G1812 contig893298, whole genome shotgun sequence.
UCCAUUGCUCAGUUGGUAAAGCACAAAGCUCUUAACCUUGUGGACGUGGGUUCAAGCUCUACGAUGGAA